AUUGAACGCUGGCGGCAGGCCUAACACAUGCAAGUCGAGCGGAUGAAGGGAGCUUGCUCCUGGAUUCAGCGGCGGACGGGUGAGUAAUGCCUAUGAAUCUGCCUGGUAGUGGGGGAUAACGUCCGGAAACGGGCGCUAAUACCGCAUACGUCCUGAGGGAGAAAGUGGGGGAUCUUCGGACCUCACGCUAUCAGAUGAGCCUAGGUCGGGUUAGCUAGUUGGUGGGGUAAAGGCCUACCAAGGCGACGAUCCGUAACUGGUCUGAGAGGAUGAUCACUCACACUGGAACUGAGACACGGUCCAGACUCCUACGGGAGGCAGCAGUGGGGAAUAUUGGACAAUGGGCGAAAGCCUGAUCCAGCCAUGCCGCGUGUGUGAAGAAGGUCUUCGGAUUGUAAAGCACUUUAAGUUGGGAGGAAGGGCAGUAAGUUAAUACCUUGCUGUUUUGACGUUACCAACAGAAUAAGCACCGGCUAACUUCGUG
rnacentral:rRNA from 1 species